UACGGAGGGUGCAAGCAUUAAUCGGAAUUAUUGGGCGUAAAGGGCGCGUAGGCGGUUCUGCAAGUCAGAUGUGAAAUACCGAAGCUUAACUUCGGUGCUGCAUUUGAAACUACAAAACUAGAGGGUAGACGGAGAAAAUGGAAUUCCACAUGUAGCGGUGAAAUGCGUGGAUAUGUGGAAGAACACCGGUGGCGAAAGCGGUUUUCUAGUUUACUCCUGACGCUGAGGCGCGAGAGCAAGGGGAGCAAACAGG
rnacentral:rRNA from 1 species